CAGGACUCCAAGAUCCAUCUCACAGUUGCUACUAUUGAGCCAGAUUGCCGCUUUGUCCGUUGGAAGGUUGUGUUCACACAAGGCGCUAAACCCAGGCAAAAAAGCUCGGUUUGCACCACGGUGAAGCCAUGGCUAGAUUUCACCACAAGCUGGACUACAAAGGGCCCAAUGGAGAGGCUGCACUAGAUGACCUCUAAUGGCUGUCUGUCCCUCGCGGGCUUAAAAGCUGCUGCUAUCUAGUCAUCCCUCCUUCUGGCUGGGGAAUUCAGGGGGUUGAAGUCCACCCUUCUCCGAGUUUGCCAAGUUUGGGAAACCCGCAACUGGAGCGAGGUCUCCCCAAAGGGUACAAGAUCCAGACUGAAAUUUCUGCAGAAGAUCCGGUAAGGUGAUCUAUUAGGGAAGCUUCAAUACUCCGUUUGGGCCACACGGUGGCGCUAAAAGCAGCCACGCUCAGCAGAAGUUCUGCUUCUUCCGUUAUUUUGCAAUUCUAAAACGUUUGAGAGAUACGCCCCCCCCUCCUUCCAAAUUGGGUGGGU